GAGAGUUAACAGUACGUGAAAUUGUUAAAAGGGAAACAUUUGAAGUUAGACUUGUUAUUGUUGGUUCAGCUUUCUCUUUUGAAGGUGUAUUCCAAUGGUUAACAGACCAGCAUCAAUUUUUGGGUGUUAGAUAAGGGUCUUGAGAAUGUAGCAAUUUUGGUUGUGUUAUAGCUCUUGACUUUGAUAUAAUGCUUAAGAUUGAGGAACGCAGUGAGCUUUUUAUUAAGUGGAUGCCUUUGGGGAUCUUCUCACUACGGAUGUUGGUGUAAUAGCUUUAAAUGACCCGNNNNNNUAACAUGCUUGCGAGUAUUUGGGUGUUGAAACCCUUAUGCGUAAUGAAAGUGAAUGUAAAUGAGAUCCGUAACAGGUGCAUCAUUGACCAGUCCUGAUUAUUUAUAUGAAGGUACUGAGUAAGAGCAAGUAUGUUGGGACCCGAAAGAUGGUGAACUAUGCCUGAAUAGGGUGAAGCCAGAGGAAACUCUGGUGGAAGCUCGUAGCGGUUCUGACGUGCAAAUCGAUCGUCGAAUUUGGGUA
rnacentral:rRNA from 1 species